CCCCUUCGAUCCCCUUCUAUCCACGCGUCUCCCAAGCCUCGAGGCCACACGCAGGGAACGAGAUGGCAAAGCGACAAUGCCGCCCCGCCGCCACCGAGAGGAGGAGCCCCGCCGCCGGGGAGAGACGGGGACUAGGGUCUACGCCGCCGCGCCACCGCUCCCUCCCCUUCUCCGCUCCGCGAGCAGAGGCGGGGACUAGGGUUUACGCCGCUGCGCCACCGCCCCCUCCACUUCUCUGCUCUCCCUCUCCGGCGAGCCCAGCCACCUCCGAGGCCCCCCCGUUCGUCGAACUGCAUCGCCGCCCCAGCCCUCCGCCGCGGAGCCCAAGCUUGCUUGUCCCCUAGCCUCUUCCACGCUCCGCCACCAUCAACCUUCUCCACACCUCGCAGUCAUCGUCCUCCUUCACGCCUACCGUAGAGCUGAGACCCGCUGCUUGGAUUCUUGCUGGGGUGGACGAGUUGCCUCUGUCUUGGGAGUCAGUUGCCACGCCUAACUUCUGAGUUAUUACAAGCAUUUGCUGCUUCCCAGGCUGGAGUUAGAUGGUAACAAAGGAAUUAAAGAGCUCAAUUGCCAACGGCAGCAUGAAAUGCAGCUACCGAAAUACAAACAUGGCUACCACCCUAUGUUAAACUUUGGUUGUAACAGAAUAUUGUGAGGACAUGUUGCUCUUGUAACAGAAUAAUCUGGGAGCAAGUUAUAAUCUGGGAGUACAUGUUCUUCUUGUAAAAGAACAUGGUUAGAGUUGUUAAACUUGCAAACAUUGGAUUUUUAA